rnacentral:rRNA from 1 species
GACGGUCAGGGACGAAACCUAGGGGCACGAACCGGAUUAGAUACCCGGGUAGUCCUAGGUGUAAACGCUGUGGACUUGAUGUUGGGGGCGCUCCGAGCGCUCUCAGUGUCGAAGCGAAGGUGAUAAGUCCACUGCCUGGGGAGUACGGUCGCAAGGCUGAAACUUAAAGGAAUUGGCGGGGGAGCACUGCAACCUGAGGAUUGUGCGGUUUAAUUGGACUCAACGCCGGGA